rnacentral:sRNA from 1 species
UUCGAUUCUUCCUAGAUCCACUGAUGGAAAUAGCGCAAGGAACGUUCCGAUGGGAGGAUCUUGAAGCACUCGACAAGGCC